UCAGUGGUUUCAUACUUGAUAUGCAUUUUCAGUGUUCAAAGAAGAAGAAUAAACUGGCCGGAAUGCUACUGCAGUUAAACGCCUUCCUUUUUAGGGCUCUUUUCCAGUGGUUCGGAGAGGAUGCAAAGCUGUAAGAGGGUGAUUUUUAAUGAUCGGAAGCGCUGUUUCCACUAAGGAGUACAGUUAAGUUCAAAUACCACAGGAUGCAAAGGGGUACCGAACCACUUUUUAGUACCCAGUGCAUGGUAAGGGUACCGAAAGAGGUGGAGAUUCACUUCAGCCACACAAAAUGCUGUUUCCUCGAGUUGUUGUCCUUUUGCUUUAUCGUGGAAACACAAACCAGAACAGUACCGUAACAAACUAUACCACAGUUGAGGACAAUAAAAACUUGACACUUUCAGUUCUCUUCUUUUUAGGUGGUGGACUUCCUUUCCCACUCCUGUAAUGACCAAAAGGAAAUAACAUUUAUAUACAGAAAAAUACAGCAAUGUUAUUGUUGUGAACAGUAAGUCUCACUUUGGCUUUCUGAAGCACUUUGCCCUUAGUGGCCAUGAUGGAAACUGGCCUGUUUUUUAGUGCAGAGGCUGAAUUGACAGGAGAUUCUGAGUCCACACUGGUGGUGGUGGGGCUGCCGGACGGUUGGGAUGGUGAGGAUGCUGGCGAUAAUGACAUUUGUGCAGGUGGCAUGCUCACGGUUUUAGCCUAAGAGAAGGAAUGGAAGGUUAUGUAAGUCAUUGUUUUUGUAUUCGAGCCUUUUUUCAUCAGGCUGAUGAUGGCUGACCGUGUCCUGGAGGCUGCAGUCCAGUGUGGUCCCCAGUGUGAACGGCCCGGCCUCCACCUUCUUCAGGUUCUCCUUUACCUCCACAAGCACCAGCUCUACCUCCACACGCCUGUGUUCUGCUUCUCGACUCGCUUCCUCCACCUGCUUCAGCCGAGCUUCCAGCUGGCGAGGCUGCUCCUCUCCUCCUCGCGCUCUCUCUCCAGACGGUCACGUUCGUCAAUGUAGCGCCGCAAGUCAGCCUCCGUGCGGUUUUUUCCUAGCUUCCCUUCAACGGUGCCAGGACAGGCUGAAAAUUCGUCAACACCCACCCAAAAGUAGAGGACAACACAUCAGACGUGUUGUUCUUCCUAGGAACAUAGUGACCACACCUCGCACGACGUAAGUAAAGCGCUCAUCUGGGUCAAAUAUACAUUUUCGACCUACGUCAGCUUGUAUAUCACCGACGCCCACCCAUCACUUGUGGUUUGUGUUACAGACAUUUUAAUAAAA